CAAAAUACAAUUAGCUCUUAAUGACUUUCCUAUACAGAUUAAAUCGUUUACCCGCUCCAUAGCAAGCCGCUCUGUCCGCACUGAUUGGUGAAGUUAUUUAAUGUCGAAUUAGAUGUAAAAACAAAAGUCGAUUUCAGAGGUUUAAAAAGGAACCGAAAGGAAUGAUAUAAACCAAAACUUUUAUUUGGUUCUAACUGAUUCAGAACUUUAUUUUUCUGGUCAGUAGAACAUAAUAAUGGUUCUGUUCAGAAUUGGAAAAUAAUUAUUAUUGGAAAAUAAUUUUGGUUCCAACCCCUGGUAAUAAAACAUCAAAUGUAUUCCUUAAAUUGUGAUUAGCGAAGAAAAUAAAAACGUAGGGCCCUGGUACACAUAUGCCAGCAUAAUGCAGUGCAUGAUAAUCUAGCAUUCUGUCAUCAACACUUCCAAGAACAGAUAUGUCACGGCUUCUAGGAGUAGUGGGUGGAGGAGUCAGGCGCAGAGAGCAGGGUUAGUAAUAACGUGGGUCUUUAUUCCAGGAACAGAGUAACGGUCACGCUAAACACAAGGGCGCAUAAAAUACCACGUCCAAACAAACAGGACGAAACGGUCCGGAAAAAGGAACCCACAAUAACCCACACACAUGAACAGAAAAACAAGCCAGCACAAAAGCAGGCGGGCCUAACGGGUUUAAAUAGCCCCAAAACAAAACCCAAACAAGAAACAGGUGAAACUAAUCAGACAAAACUAACUGAAACAGAAAAGGGGAUCGGUGGAAGCUAGUAGGCCGGCGAUGACGACCGCCGAGCUCCGCCCGAACAGGAAGAGGAACCAUCUUCGGCGGGAUUCGUGACAAGAUGGGCUCACUUUUGCAGCCACACCUCAAGAGUUCUCUACAAACUUUGUCAGCCCUUAGUAAGAGUGUCCGCAAAGUUGUCCAGGAAUCAACUGUUUUUUUAUAGCCCAUCCUAAUCUUUCUGGUGAAGGUGCCAAUUGGAUGGUUUUCAGACUUGUUGACCAAAUGCUUGUUUGGUACACUGCUCGGUUUGAAUAUCGCAGCAGCGAUGGAGAUGUUCUCCAUCGGGAAUGACCUCUUGUUGAAGAUAUCUUUUCUCAGAUCAUUGACAAAAUCUAGGCUGGUUAACUUGUUAUGGACAAAACAGGUGUAUCGCUCAACCAAUGUGAAAGUGGAUUAAUCCAGAUCAAGUGUUUGAAAUAGUUCAGCUGCCAUGGAAUGAAGGCAUCAGUCACCUCUGGAAAUGACUUUCAUGCAACCCAAGCUGUCUUUUUGCUCUUUCCAUGUAACUGUGAGGUUGUACCACAACCUGUGAAUGCGUGGAAGCGGUUGUGCAUUCCAAGCUUCUCAUAGAUGGUGUUGAUACAAAUCUCCUGGUAGUGUUUACCCAUACCAAAAGUAACCCACAGCUUUAGGGUUGGAUAAUCCUUGUUAAAAUGGAAGAACAGCACAGAAAGGAGUACAAUGAUGUCUGUAUCCACUGGUCCAAUGAGAAUGAUGAACAUCGUACCGUCAGGCAUUUGGAAAUUGCUCCCAAGGAUGAACCAGACUUGUGGAGGUCUACAAUGUUUUUUCAGAGGUCUUGGUUGAUUUCUUCUGAUUUUCCCAUGAUGUCAAGCAAAGAGGCACUGAGUUUGAAGGUCCACCCCUCUUCCCCGUCUCAUCGAUUGCCAACCGGCUUACGUGGUGAGGUGUCUCCUGAAGGUUCGACCUUGGGGCAGGGGGUUCCAGUUUCUGUUACUGUUUUAACCUUUUGUGCCCGCUCUGACCCUGAGCCUGCCUGCCGUCCUGUACCUUUGCCCCACUACUCUGGAUUACUGACCUCUACCUGACCUGACCUUGAGCCUGCCUGCCUUCCUGUACCUUUGCCCCACUACUCUGGAUU